CAGAAAAAUAUGUCCCAUGGACAACCCUGUGAAUAGUUCUUGAGUGAGUGGAUGAAAUAAUGGUCUGAGACGUCCAAUGCAAGAUUGCAGACCUGGACAACACGCAAUUAGUGUGCAAUGCACGUGGCGAUGAGCUUAUAGAAGGAUCCAGUGCCCAGCACUUUAAUGUCUGACGGGAGUCGAAGAACACCUAGUCUCUGACAAGCACUCCGCGGUGACCAAACUGAAUCCCAACCCGCCAUACUUAGCUGCACCGACAGCGGUAACAUGACCCCUGACCCUCAUUUAUAAAGUCCACAGUUAGCGCGCCACGCUCGUGCAAGGAAGUUAACGCGCGUCAGAUGUGACCAUCAGCAGGCAGCAGGCGCCAGCAAUGACGCACUAACAAAUGGCCACGUGACGUCUGGAGGCCACUUCCGGCUGCGAACGCGCACAUCAGGCGAAAUGAAAAGUAUAAUGAUAAGCGGCAAAGACGACUGCGCCACCACCCUGGCUGUACGAGCCAGAUAUAAAUGAUUGUCGUAAACCAGACCUGACUGGCUGUUGGAACCAGAAACAAAUGAUUGUCGUAAGAUUUGCCGGUCACCAUCGACCACCCGCAGCAGGGAGUCAUGCAUCUAUGUCCGCCGAACAGCAGACACAAGAAGAAAGUGCGACUGGUCCUCGGUCUUGAAAGCUAACAUCCGCUGGGACAGAUCCACACGAUUCGGAUUUCCACAGACGUGCCAGCUGCCCCGGUCAUGGUGGAUGCAUCCAGAAUGUUCAGGUAAAGAAGAAAAGUGGUUACAUGUGUCUGCACUCGAAUCUACGAAGUUUCAUGUGUGACUUAUCUUUAAUCUCGAGAAGUCAGCGCGCGGUCAUCCGGUGUACCAUCGAGCAUCCGCUGUGUCUGAUAGGACGUGUAACUUCCGGCAAGGGACGAUAACCUGCACAACUGUGCUCCGCAUGUUCGUGCUUCUAGAAGUCUCUCAUACUUACACCAUCUGUCAAAGAAUCGCUAGUAAAAGUCUGAACGAUUUCA